rnacentral:rRNA from 1 species
AGUGAACGCUGGCGGCAGGCCUAACACAUGCAAGUCGAACGGCAGCACAGUAAGAGCUUGCUCUUACGGGUGGCGAGUGGCGGACGGGUGAGGAAUACAUCGGAAUCUACUUUUUCGUGGGGGAUAACGUAGGGAAACAUACGCUAAUACCGCAUACGACCUACGGGUGGAAGCAGGGGAGCUUCGGACCUUUCGCGAUUGUAUGAGCCGAUGUCGGAUUAGCUAGUUGGUGGGGUAAAGGCCCACCAAGGCAACGAUCCGUAGCUGGUCUGAGAGGAUGAUCAGCCACACUGGAACUGAGACACGGUCCAGACUCCUACGGGAGGCAGCAGUGGGGAAUAUUGGACAAUGGGCGCAAGCCUGAUCCAGCCAUACCGCGUGGGUGAAGAAGGCCUUCGGGUUGUAAAGCCCUUUUGUUGGGAAAGAAAAGCAGCAGGUUAAUACCCCGCUGUUCUGACGGUACCCAAAGAAUAAGCACCGGCUAACUUCGUG